GCUGGGCACAGUGGCUUGCGCCUGUCAUCCCAGUGGCUCAGGAGGCUGAGGCAGGAGGAUUGCAAGUUCAAAGCCAGCCUCAGCAAAAGCAAGGUGCUAAGCAAUUCAUGAGACCCUGUCUCUA
rnacentral:sRNA from 1 species